AUGGCGCGGAGCUUCUCGACGGACACGUCCGCCGACGGGGAGGCCGGGGCGCGCGUGGCCUGCGGCUCAAUCCAUUCAAGCUUGAGGCUGAGGUCGUCCUGCGUUGUGCGAAUGCCAGAAGGCACGCGCAGGGCGGCGCGACAGGUGGCAGCGCUGCUCCGUCGUGGCCGCGCUGUGGAAGUGGAAGGGGAUGAGGAAGACUGGACCAAGAAGAGGCGCUGGGCCCGGAGUGCCGCCAUGCUUCCCUGGAGGCUGGCGACUGGACUGCAGCGGGUUUCGAAGGCGAAGUGGCUCCAAGGUUUUGCUGCUUCCCGUGUCGUGUUGAUGAACUGA
rnacentral:rRNA from 1 species